UACAGAGGGUGCAAGCGUUGUUCGGAAUUAUUGGGCGUAAAGGGCGCGUAGGCGGUUCGGCAAGUCUCUAGUGAAAUCUCAGGGCUCAACUCUGAGUCUGCUGGGGAAACUGCCGGGCUUGAGUGUGGGAGAGGAGAGUGGAAUUCCCGGUGCAGCGGUGAAAUGCGUAGAUAUCGGGAGGAACACCUGUGGCGAAAGCGGCUCUCUGGACCACAACUGACGCUGAGGCGCGAAAGCUAGGGGAGCAAACAGG
rnacentral:rRNA from 1 species